rnacentral:rRNA from 1 species
GUAAGAUAAAAAGUAUAUUAUAUUCGAUACAAUCGUAUCAAAGUAUAAAAAGAAAUUAUUAUGAAUUAUAUUGCUAUAAACCAAAGGUUGAUUUAUUCGCAAGAAUAUAGAACCUAAGAGAAAUCUAAUAACUAAACAAAGUGAACUGAAAAAUCUAAGUAACUUUAGGAAAAAAAAAUCAAACGAGAUUCUACAAAAAAUGUGAAGUAAGGUAGAUUUAAUGCUAUGAAAAAAAUAAUAGGAGUAAAUCGGCGUAAUCCCGGGAUAAAGAAAAGUUUUUUGCUUGUCUAGCAUCCGGCAUAAUCCCGGAAAAAGAAUAUAGAAAAGCUUUACGAUGGGCGUAACAAAAAAACAAAGAUAUUAACAUAAUAGAAGUCAUCCGGCUUAAUCCCGGACGAAUAUAAAAGUUAAUGUCAAUGUUUUGUUAACAUAUCUUAAGUAAAACGGAUUUUCUGUUUGAAUAAAGGGGAACCUUCCUCUAAAGCUAAAUAUGGUUUUAUACGCGAUAGUGAAUAGUACCGUGAGGGAAUAUAUUUAAUAGUAGUUUUAUAAGCAGCUUUAGAAAAAUUUAAAUAAAAAACAAAAGCGUACCUUUUGCAUAAUGGGUCAGCAAGUUAAUGUUAGAUGCAAGCAUAAAGUUUGCCUAGAGAAAUCGAUUAUGAAAUAAUGAAAAAGUAUCUAAUAUUAGACCCGGAGAUUAGUGAUCUUACCAUGAUCAGGAUUAUAAAAGUCCGAACGGGUUAUCGUUGUAUAGAUAUCCGAAGAAUUGUGGUAAGUAAGUGAAAGACAAAACUGACUAAUUUAGCUGGUUUUCCGCGAAACCUAUAUAAGUAGGUAAUUUAAAUAACAUCUUAGCAGGUACAGAACUGUGAUCUCGAUCGAAAUCAUCAAAAAAAAAAUGAUGAAUUUGAAGACAUCGGGGGAUCGUAAAGAUUUUACCGGAGAGUAUUUGCACUCGGAAGGGUUAAGAUGAAUAUUAAAUAAUCGGACAUAGUACGAUAAGGUUGUAUGUCUAAAGGGAAACAGCCCAGAACAAGAGUUAAUAAGGUUCCAAAAUUAUUGUUGAGUGAAAUAAAGGAUGUGUCUUUUAAUACAAUCAGGAAAUAGGCUUAGAAGCGGCCAUUUUUUGAAGAUCUCGUAACAGAGCACUGAUUAAAGUAGAGGAUCACACCGAAAAUAUAACGGAUCUAAACAAUAUACCGAAACCUUGUCCAUAUAUAUAUUAAUAUAAAUGGGGUAGCGGAACAUUGGAUAAAUCUAAGAUUUAUUCUUUAUAAGAUUAAAAAAUAAGAUAUUCCAAGAGAGAAUGCUGAUAUGAGUAACGAAAAAGAAAUUUUUAAUAUAUUGCUCGCCUAAAGCUUAUGGUAAAUUCAAUAAAAUUUACGGCCUCUAACUAAAAAACAGGAAGAGACUGGGAAGCUAAAAAGACUAAUUAAUAGUUAAAUUAGUUCAGGAAAAUUAGUGGAAAUAAACCGUACCUAGAAAACUACCACAAGUAAGCUAGUAGAGAAUACGAAGGCGUUUGAGUAAUCAAUCAUUAAGGAACUCGGCAAAUUGACUCACGUAACUUCGGGAUAAGGUGGGCCAUUCUUAUCAGGUAUAUUAAGUGUAGAAAUGCUUAAUACAAAAUAAUUUGUAAUUAAUAUACCGAAAGAAAAGGAAGCAUGGAAUAGUGUUGUACGACUGUUUAAUUAAAACACAGCACUCUGCAAAGAUAAUAUCGAAAUAUUGAGUGUGAUGUCUGCCCGGUGUCGGCUGGGUAACGGAUUUGCUUAGAAAUAAAAAGCUAGGCUUUGAAGGAAACCCCGAUAAACGGCGGCCUUACCGAUGAGGGUCCUAAGGUAGCGGAAUACCCUGGCCGUUAAAUGCGGUCUUGCAUGAAUGAUGUAACGAUACAACAGCUGUCUCGAUGAUUGGCUCAGUGAAAUUGGAAUAGCAGUGCAGAUACUGUUUACCUCUAGAUAGACGAGAAGACCCUAUGCAGCUUUACUGUUACCAAUUUGGGCUGUAUUAUAAGAAUUAUAAGAGUAUAAGGUAGAUUUUCUUCGAAGUUAGAAUAAAUUCAUUUAUUCUGCUUUGGGGUGCUUAUUAUUAGUUUAGCAUUUAUCACAAAUGAGACACCUUUAUUUACUUUAUUACAGUCAUUUGAUUGGAAGACAGUUUAUGCGGGGCACAGAUCCCAUAAAAAGUACCUGGGUAUAUCCAAAAUUCUAAUCGUAAAAAUGUACGUUUUGUACAUAAUAUAACAAAUAAAUUAUUUAUUUGUUGUGUUUAAAUUUAAUUUGUUAUUAUUUAUAAUAAUAUUUAUUCAGUUACUGUCGUUUUAAAUACUUUUAUAUAUUUUAUAUAAGUAAGAUUUUAACUAUAUGGUGAAUAGUUGUAAAAAAACAGAAAUAUACUGCUUCGCACAAUAUAGAUGUUUUUAGUUGUAACAUAUUUUGUUCAACAUAAAUAUGUUAUGAUAUUUAAUAUUACUGUAAAAGUUUAAUGGCUUAAUCUUGCUUUACUGUCAGACCUACAAGUCCAUCAGUCGCGUAAGCGGGGCAUAUGAUCGCAAGAUACGGAAAGGAAAGGUCUUGGAUUUUUGAAAAAGUUACGCUA